rnacentral:rRNA from 1 species
CUGUCUUAUUUAUAUAUAUUGAAUUUAACUUUUAAGUGAAAAGGCUUAAAUAAAAUAAAGGGACGAUAAGACCCUAUAAAACUUAAUAUAAAUUAUAUUAUUUUUUAAAAUUAUUAGUUUAUUAUAAAAUAGUAUAGUAAUAUUUUACUGGGGAGGUAGGAAUAUAAGAUAAUAACUGUUUUUUAUAAAAGUUAAGGGAUAUUUAAUUAGAUUGAUCCUUAUUUAAAGAUUAAAAGAUAAGUUACUUUAGGGAUAACAGCGUAAUUUUUUUUGAGAGUUCUUAUCGAUAAAAAGGAUUGCGACCUCGAUGUUGAAUUAAAAUUUCUUUAUAAUGUAGCAGUUAUAAAAGAAGGUCUGUUCGACCUUUAAUUUUUUA